rnacentral:rRNA from 1 species
AUUGAACGCUGGCGGCAUGCUUUACACAUGCAAGUCGAACGGCAGCGGGGGCUUCGGCCUGCCGGCGAGUGGCGAACGGGUGAGUAAUGCAUCGGAACGUGCCCAGUCAUGGGGGAUAACUACGCGAAAGCGUAGCUAAUACCGCAUACGCCCUGAGGGGGAAAGUGGGGGAUCUUCGGACCUCACGUGAUUGGAGCGGCCGAUGUCAGAUUAGCUAGUUGGUGAGGUAAAGGCUCACCAAGGCGACGAUCUGUAGCGGGUCUGAGAGGAUGAUCCGCCACACUGGGACUGAGACACGGCCCAGACUCCUACGGGAGGCAGCAGUGGGGAAUUUUGGACAAUGGGCGCAAGCCUGAUCCAGCCAUGCCGCGUGAGUGAAGAAGGC